rnacentral:rRNA from 1 species
UGGGGAAUAUUGCACAAUGGGCGCAAGCCUGAUGCAGCAACGCCGCGUGAGGGACGACGGCCUUCGGGUUGUAAACCUCUUUUAGUAGGGAAGAAGCGAAAGUGACGGUACCUGCAGAAAAAGCACCGGCUAACUACGUGCCAGCAGCCGCGGUAAUACGUAGGGUGCGAGCGUUGUCCGGAAUUAUUGGGCGUAAAGAGCUCGUAGGCGGUCUGUCGCGUCUGCUGUGAAAACCCGAGGCUCAACCUCGGGCCUGCAGUGGGUACGGGCAGACUAGAGUGCGGUAGGGGAGAAUGGAAUUCCUGGUGUAGCGGUGGAAUGCGCAGAUAUUAGGAGGAACACCGAUGGCGAAGGCAGUUCUCUGGGCCGUAACUGACGCUGAGGAGCGAAAGCGUGGGGAGCGAACAGGAUUAGAUACCCUGGUAGUCCACGCCGUAAACGUUGGGCGCUAGAUGUGGGGACCAUUCCACGGUUUCCGUGUCGCAGCUAACGCAUUAAGCGCCCGCCUGGGGAGUACGGCCGCAAGGCU